CCAUUUCAAAAUUUUCAUGAUUAUCGAAAAUAAAAAAUCAAGAAUAUAGAUACAAUAUGCAUACAAUAUCUUGUCACAAAUAGGAAAAACAUGUGUCAUAUCAAAUCAUAAUAAGAGUUCUGCUGGACACGAGACACCAUUAGUAGGGGUUGGGUGUGGCAUCGGUGCACUCCGACACUAUAUAAACAACUGCGAUGUACAAGUUUGUCAAGCUUUACAAACACUAAUUGAUUUUUGAAAUUGGGGCAUGCUCCCUCGAUAGAUAUCUAAUAUUGUUGUGAAAUUAGAUUAAACGGAUACUUUAAGACUUGGGACAUUCCUCAAUCAUUGUCGCAAUGGGCAUUGUGGGCUCUACAUAUGGCCAGGGAUUGCAGCAGGUUGCUAAUCUAGUGAUUACCAAUCCAGUAACAACUUAUUUGGUGAGAAUUGACGUCACAUGCUAGCCGUGGUGUGGUGUUUGAUGAAUGAUUAAUUAUUGUGUACUUCCAAGUUCCAAGCAACACCUUACUGAAAUGCCAUCUGACCUUCUUCUCAAAGGGAGACAUGAUACGAAUAAGGCAGCAUGGUGUAGUAGGAGGAUAUAGUUGUGCGUCGUCUGUCUGUGUCUGUUUGUUUGCUGGGAAAGUGCCAAAGAGCAUAAGCAUCUGCAUCUGCAUCUGCAUCUGCACUACACAGAAAGAGAGCAAACUUGUUUAUUUGGCAAUCUCUCUCCCGUGAACAUCAUUUGGGAGUUUGUGGAGGAAACAUACAAAACAUUACCCAUAUUUUUGUUAUAAUGCAGCGUGAGUAUUCACAUGCAUUUGCUUCUUUGGUCUCUUUCACGGUUUCUAGCUGUUAGUUUCUACACCCCCACCCACCCACCAAGCUUAUUCCGAUUUCCUCCCAUCAGCCAGUCCACUCUUUCUAUCUCCUCCUUCUGUUCAUCAUCUUCUUCUCCUUCUUUCUUCAAACAAUGG
rnacentral:lncRNA from 1 species